rnacentral:lncRNA from 1 species
CCGGGAAUGCUGGGGUAUCCCUGGGAAUGCUGGGGCACCCCGGGAAUGCUGAGGCAUCCUGGGAAUGCUGGGGUAUCCCUGGGAAUGCUGGGGCACCCCGGGAAUGACGGGGCAUCUCUGGGAACGCUGGGGCAUCCCGAGGAUUUUGAGACAUUCCGGGAAUGCUGGGGCACCCCUGGGAACCCUGAGGUGUUCCAGGGAAUGCUGAGGCAUCCCUUUCCCGGGGCACUGGGCCACACAUCCCUGAUGUGGUGCAGAAAAAGGAAAGCCCGGGAUUAGUGGGAGGAUGUUUCUGGAAUGAAAACUGGGAGAGGUGCUGAUCAUCCCAUGGAAUCCGGGGCUGCUUUGGCUUGGAAGGGAGCACGGGAUCAUUGACACUCUUGUCUGAUUGCACAGCCAAGAACAUCCCAAAGGGCCUCCUCACCCUCAUGGACAGCAGGAAUGUCUUCCAUGGCUCCUGCUUGGGAAUGGCAGUGGCUGUUGGGAGCUCUGGAGACCAGAGCACCUUAACAUCCACCUUGAAGAGCAUCAGGAGGGAAGCAGGGAGACUGCAGAGAUGUAGGGGUGGAUCAUCCUGGAGAACCAUGAGUAGGGACAAUGCAUGCCAAGCCAGCCAUCUCCUGUUGUUUUUUCUUGCAAAGAAGAAACAGCUUCAGCCUUCAUCUCAGCUCCUGCCUGGAGGCUCCUGGGCUCCGGUUCCUUACUGUACUCCGGGCUCAGCACCAAAUCCAGGUUGUGCUGGAUGACUUCAAAGUCCCAGACUGAAGCCACACAGAGGAUUGAAGGCAGCACCAAGAUAUUGUAGGACUGUCUCCAAACAGAUCGCACUGCAAAGAGGGUUUUCCAGCUGGAGGAAACCUCCAGCAGGGAGUUCACAC